UUUGUUUCUUGGACCCUGAAGUAAAAACAUAGCCAAAAGGCCAGAUUGAGGGAAAGAUCAAGCACAGUAUCUGUUAUCAGUUUAAUAUCUGAUAUGUCCUUUAUUUGAGGACUGUAUAUUAAAUUGAUUUUUGAAACAUAGUAAAGAGCCACUUAUACAACACUGCCAAAUUCGUCUCUUGAGCUUUAACUAUUAACUUUUUUCUGAAUUGUAUUAUCACAGUGCAUAAGAAACCCAGU
rnacentral:snRNA from 1 species